rnacentral:lncRNA from 1 species
AUUAGAGUAACAAGAUAUUGAUUGAGUUUAUUAAGCUGUGAAAAGUGUUGAAUAAUAGCAAGAGACAGUGUUGUUUGUCUUAGAAGCUGGAAGAGCUAAAGCCUCAAGUAUGGGCCAUCACCCUCCAAGAUAGAGCCAGUGCCUGGAGCAGAAGGGGACAGGCAGGGAAGGUCCUGGGAACCCCAAGAAAAGAGGUGGAGAAAGGCACGGAGAGAACCCCAGGAUCCAUCUGGCAGAAGAUCCCAGGAGAAAAAGCAGAUUAUGCAAACGCGUCUCCAUGAGGAAGAGCAAGGCUCCUGCAGGACGGAGAUCAGAUGGAUCAGCGAUCCCAGACAGAACCUUUUGCCUGAUAUGAGCACCCUUGGGAGAGACCUCUUCACACAAAAGUUCCUUGCAAGGAAAACACUCCUGCCUCACUUUCUUCAACCCAGCCAUGACCUUUCUUGGGACAGGGUCACACCAGGGUUACAGCAUCUGCCUCCCAGCCUCCCAGCUGGCCAGUCCUUCUGCAGUGGCUCAGCCGCAGACCCCUCCUGCACACCACAGCCAAAAACGAUUCUGCGAGGACUACAUCAUCCCGUGAAACUGACGCUUAAUGAUGCAGAACUCCACGUUUCCUGUCCUCAACUUGUCAUCAUUUUCCUUCCCAGAACCCCCAGCACCUCUGACACCGACCUGGAUCUCUACUCCAGAAACUCAAAACCCAUUUUUGCCACACCGUCACACUAG